GUUUAGUUGGUUGAGCAUCAACUCUUGAUUUCGGUUUAGGUCAUGAUCUCAGGGUUGUGACAUGGAAUUCUGUGUUGGGCUCAGUGAUGGGUAUGGAGUCUGCUU